rnacentral:rRNA from 1 species
GAAAGUCCCCUUCGGGGGACAAGUAGAGUGGCGCACGGGUGAGUAACACGUAGGUAAUCUACCUUCGGAUGGGGAAUAACAACCGGAAACGGUUGCUAAUACCGCAUAAUGCAGCGGCACCUAAUGGUGACAGUUGUUAAAGCGGGGGAUCGAAAGACCUCGCGUCUGAAGAGGAGCCUGCGGCGGAUUAGCUAGUUGGUAAGGUAAUGGCUUACCAAGGCUACGAUCCGUAGCCGGCCUGAGAGGGCGGUCGGUCACACUGACACUGACAUACGGGUCAGACUCCUACGGGAGGCAGCAGUCGGGAAUUUUGGGCAAUGGGCGAAAGCCUGACCCAGCAACGCCGCGUGAAGGAUGAAAUCCCUCGGGAUGUAAACUUCGCAAGAACGGGAAGAAUAAGUAGGGGACAAUACCCCCUAUGAUGACGGUACCGUUUGUAAGCUCCGGCUAACUCCGUGCCAGCAGCCGCGGUAAUACGGGGGGAGCAAGCGUUGUUCGGAUUUACUGGGCGUAAAGGGCGCGUAGGCGGCCAGCACAAGUCAGUUGUGAAAUCUCCGAGCUUAACUCGGAAAGGUCAACUGAUACUGUGCGGCUAGAGUGCAGAAGGGGCAACUGGAAUUCUCGGUGUAGCGGUGAAAUGCGUAGAUAUCGAGAGGAACACCUGCGGCGAAGGCGGGUUGCUGGGCUGACACUGACGCUGA